CAGAGGGGUGGGGGGAGCAGACCUGCUCCCCCCUCCCCUCUGUAUUUCUUGUCAUAUAAGUUACUGCUCAUGAACCCAGAGCACUCACACGCAGACCCUCUUACAGAGUGAACCUUGUCUUCUCCUGUGUUCUCUGUUAUUUGUGUUGAGGAAAUACACAAAAAGCUUAUUUUCAUCGGAAGCUGCAGGUUGGUUCCUUGUUUUGUUUUUUCAUCAAGCUCUUGAUACAACGAAAGAUCACCACCGACUGACGGGAUGGGGUUUGGCGCACCAGGGUUCGCCACAUCUGCGAGCGGUGGCCCCAUUCGCCUUCUGUUCGACAGUUUUGCUCAAUUCUGCCAGAACUUCACUGAGGGGAAUAGCGGCUCAGGAAAUGGAGUUCAAUCUAACAAACCUAAAUCUGAAGAACAAGCAGCAAAAAGUGAAAAAGUAAGAGAUAUGGAUUCAUCUGAAUUGGAAGGAACAUUACACGUGGGAGCCAGUGGAAUGUCUAAAGAGGAGGAAAUGGCCAUUGAACUGAUGAACCAGCAGACAAACCAGGCGACAAACAACGAUCAAGAUGAGGAUGAUGUAAAACGCAGAAAGAGCGAAAGCGCCACCACUGUCAGCAGCGUGAGCGAAAAUGACACCACUGCCAGCAGUUUGGGGAUCGAGAGCGAGGAGUACAGCACCAGCUUCGCCACGAGCGACAAGGAGAGUAGCGACGGGGAAGGCUAUUUGCCCGGUGCGCUUCUCAAUGUCAGGUCCAUGUCCAAACACAUUGAUGAGGUACUAGAAGUCAUCGAAAAUCACAAAUUAGACUUCCUUUGCACCACGGAGACCUGGUUAAACCCUUCAAAUUACAAUACGGUGCUCUCGGCCGCUAGUCCCUCUACCUUUAAGUUCCACCAUGAGGCCGGACAGGAUGAGCCCGUCCGCGGCGUGGAGGGCACAGUAUAUGGCGGCGUGGCCAUCCAAUACAAGGAUGAAAACAAGGAAAAAGAACAGGAAAGAAUAUGUUUUAGCCCAACUUUCAAACCAGUGUUUGAUAUUGUGGCCAUGGUCCUGGAAAACGACAAGUUGGAAGUUCCCGUCGUCCUGGUCAACUUGUACAUUUCUCCCAAAAAAAUAAAGGCACAUUUUGGUGAGUUUGUACGCCACUUCGAAGAGCUGCUGUGCAUUUUGAAAAAGAAGGGGUAUGACCACGUCAUCAUCACAGGUGAUUUCAAUAUCCACAUGGACAACCCCGAAGAUCCCUCGGUCCAAACGUUUUGUGACCUGUUGGUUAGAUUGGGUCUGAAUCAACAUACCCAUGGGGCAACACGUUAUCCAGGGGGACACACACUGGACCUGGUCAUCACCUUGGAUGUGGCUAUUCGCAAAAUGAAAAAAGUAUAUAACAAAAAACUCUCGGAUCAUUGUCUUAUUUUAUUCGAAGCCAGACCAGUCACCAGACGGAGAGACGUAAAAAAGUAA
rnacentral:lncRNA from 1 species